rnacentral:rRNA from 1 species
AAUGAACGCUGGCGGCAGGCCUAACACAUGCAAGUCGAACGGACCCUUCGGGGUUAGUGGCGGACGGGUGAGUAACGCGUGGGAACGUGCCCUUUGGUUCGGAAUAGCCUCGGGAAACUGGGAGUAAUACCGGAUAAGCCCUUCGGGGGAAAGAUUUAUCGCCAAAGGAUCGGCCCGCGUUGGAUUAGGUAGUUGGUGGGGUAAUGGCUUACCAAGCCGACGAUCCACAGCUGGUUUGAGAGGAUGAUCAGCCACACUGGGACUGAGACACGGUCCAGACUCCUACGGGAGGCAGCAGUGGGGAAUCUUAGGCAAUGGGGGAAACCCUGAUCUAGCCAUGCCGCGUGAUCGAUGAAGGCCUUAGGGUUGUAAAGAUCUUUCAGUUGGGAAGAUAAUGACGGUACCAACAGAAGAAGCCCCGGCUAACUCCGUGCCAGCCGCCGCCGUAA